CAGUCCUGCAUUAGACACUGUGAUUCAGCCAUGAACUAGAAGGCAAAGUUCUGGCCAACAGAAAGCUCACAUUCCAGGACUGCAGUCUUUCCUUAGUCACAGAGGCGUCCAUGUCCUCAGUCUGCCCACUAUGCACCUAUUAACUCAUCAGAUCUGCAUCUCUAGAUUCAUCUCCUCUAUGCCAGGUAUUAUACCAGUCAACACUUUAUGUAUUUCAUCCUCAUGACAACUCCACAUGCUCCAUGGGAGCUUAAAAGCCAACAUCCUACAAUCAUGAUGAAAACCGGCAGCCUGGCAGUCAGUGGAGAGGGCAGAAUGAGGUUGGAGCACCUUCAAAGCCUCAUUCGUGAGAAUUUUCAUUAUGCGACCUGCUGGUGGAUUCUGGAAUACCAAUUAUUUAGCUGGACUCAGACAUCUGCUGUACAACAUUGUGUUUAUGGUUAACAAUGUAUAUUGUACACUUAAAAAUUUGUUAAGAGAGUAGAUCUCAUGUUAUGUGUUUUUUACCACAACAAAAAAGCACUCAGAUUAGAAAGGAAGAAGCAAAGCUAUCUGUAUUUGCCAUAAUCUUAUUUGUAGAAAAUCUUAAUGAAUCCACAAAAAAAUUAGGAAAGCUGGUAAUCAAGUUCAGCAAAGUUGCA
rnacentral:lncRNA from 1 species